CUGAACUGCUACUCAACUGUGCUACGUGCAAAACUCUUCCAUGCACUUUUAAGAAGUUGCUCUUAAUUUGGCCAAACCUGAAAAUUAUUGGACGUAAUAGUGCUCCCAUUAUUGUAUUAAUGAGCCAACCUUGGUAAAAGGUUUUGUAGGUUAGGUUGGGUGGCUAUGGCAAUGGCUACGUCAUUAGCCCAUUUUCCGAAAAGUUUUAAAAUUAUUUUUGUAAGAAAAAUAUUGUAUUAAAUGAACUGGAUACAGCGAUGCACCUGUAAAUAGUUACAAUUGAUUUUUUCUUUGUGUAAUAAUUAAUUAAUUUUCAUUCUUUUUGGAAUCGUAAACACUUCCCGUUUUGACAUUUCGAUAAGUUCACUUUUGACAGUAAAAAAUUGUGAAAUUAAUUAAAUAAUUAUUUAUUUUGUAGGGCCAUUUUUGAAACGCAAAAUAACAGCUAAUUUGAACACGCGCAAAAUCCAUUACAAUGGCCAUUGAUGAACCGAUUUUUGUACAGAAGCGUAAUUAUCGCAAAUUACAAACAGAUGCUUAUCAAAUAUCAGGAAAAUCUUUGGACCGACGGCAAUUUUAGCAACUCACUACCUUACUAACUUUGAAAGUACUCAACCACUUUAAAUAAUCCUGUCAGGAGAACUGGUGCCGAGGUGUCGGGUCAGGUCAUCAAUUUUAGUUAAGACAACGUCUGAAAAAUAAAAUGGGGGUGUGAGUAAUCCAGUCCAUCAGAGUGAGACGUCCACAAUCGCCAUUUGUGAACCAAUAAAUGUAACAGUCGUUAACCCAAAAUAAUUAUGCAAAUCUACCAUCAAUAAAAUAUGUAAUUCGAAUAGAAUCGGUUGAGCUCUGUCCAAGGGGUUCAAAAGGUUAACAGUCGCAGUCCUGGUCAAUAGGACUCCAGGAGCAUAGGGAAAACCAGGCAAAGGGUUACCCCUUUGCUCAUAGAUACCAUCCAGCCCGCUUGUCUCUGGAUCAGCAGCAAUCGAGAGACCACCUCGCGGUUCUGACGUGCAAUAAGCAACGCUGCCUUGUCAUCCACCACUUGUCUUAGGUUGUGCAAUGAGUACCCCGGUAAUAUCCGUCCAGCGUCUACUUCGAGACCCGCAGGUCAUUCAACACCAAGCGUGCAAUGGAUAUUAUGUUCAUGGUACUCGCCUAUGACCAACAUAAAAAGGGGGCGGUUCCAGGCAGUGCAAUGAUCACCUUUUUGGCUAACCUGCUCAACUGCUAAUCACACAUAGCCCUGAGCGUGCAAUGGAAGCCCUCUUCAUAGUGCAGGUGGCGAACAAGUCCCUUAACCUCAUAGCCGAAGCCGUUUCACGGACCAACGAGCAAGUGCAAUGAUCACCUUCCAGCGCUCUCCCCACGACCUAUUCUGCAACCUAGACCUGGGGGUGCAAUGAGCGCGGCUGCCUAGUGAUCCCCCGCGUCCACAAAUAAACAUAAACCAGACCUGGAGGCCUCGCGACGCCGCGACCCUCCAGCGUCCCCUGUUGGGUUAAUCUCGGCGUGCAAUGGGCAUUUUCGAGCGCCGCCCCGCCUCAAGCUUAACCGUGGAUUAAUUAAGGAUAGACAGACUAACAAAGUUUAGCUCGACAUGUCGGGGCUCAACUCAAUCUUAUUCAUAGUUCGUCAACUCUCAAUUCAAUAUCAUUCUCAUCAAGUAUCACCAACUUUAGUAUCAACCUAUCAACUGAUGAAUAGCGCAUUAAUUCAACUUCAGUUUGAUAUUGUACUCAAUACUCACGCAGGUUUCUGAUGAACGUUAUCAACAAUUAUAAAUAUCAACACCGCAGCAAUUAAAAUAAUGAUUGAACGACUCACCCUACCGUUGAUAUGGUAAUUAUUAUAAAUCUCUACACCUUAUUGGAUUGAAAAUCCUCACACACCAACAAACUAGGAUUACUUACUCAGUGAUAACUCACCUUGAUUCACUUAAGAAAUUACUUUAAGUCACUCUAACUUGGAACUGACUCUAGCUCACACUACCCCUCUAAAACUAAAAACUCAUAUGCAAAAUUGCAUAUUCGAAGGCGUCUUUCUCACGGUCGACUUGGGGUGGUCUGCUUGUCACCCUGACUAGCUAAUAAAUUAUGAUCAAGUGUUUAUGUUUCUCGAAAUAAAAGUCUCGGGGUCUUUUCGGAACUUUACUGACUAAUUACCCUAAUUAUCUACAUGCUAAUCUAUGACGAAAAGUAAAAAAAAAACAAACUACCAUUAAAUUAAAAUAUAAAUAAAAAAAAAUUCUGACCGCGUGGACUUCAUCCUACAACUUGUUACAUCUUUUUCGGUGGAAUGCUUUGUAAAUUAAUUUCCAAUUAGUGCUGCGCUUUAUGGUCCCCUCAACCCAACGGACGGAACAUGUAUGGCAAGAAGUUUAUUUUUAGUCCACUUUGGUGAUCUUGGGGCAAGUUGCUGUGAUAAUUUAAAUAACUUAAUUAUGGAUAAUAGACCUAAAUCGAUAUUUCGGGACUUAUACAACCUUCCUUAUAAAAACAAUUUUUUCAAAUUAUCAACUAAUGCUAAAGACGACGGUGAUCUUAUACAGAGACUAGGUUUGCUCAAGAAGUUAGAAAUCCAUCAAGGCUGUGUCAACACCAUUUGUUGGAACAGCACAGGAGAGUAUAUUUUGUCGGGUUCAGACGACCAGCAUUUAAUCAUAACAAAUGGGCACACAUACAAAGUUGAAACCAAUUAUUGCACCAGCCACCAUGCGAACAUCUUCAGUGCUAAGUUCUUGCCAUGCUCUUCUGAUAAACAGAUCGUUUCGUGUUCAGGCGAUGGAAUCAUCUUACACACAGAUCUCGAAAACACCAAAAAUACUUACUACAACCAGUUCAGUUGCCAUGCAGGAACCACUUAUGAGGUGAUUACCAUCCCAAAUGAUCCCAAUAUACGUUUCUCAGUUGUGGGGAGGAUGGCACAGUGCGUUGGUUUGAUUUGAGGACAAAGACAAGUUGCCGAAAACCGCGUUGUAAAGAAGAUAUUUUAAUUAAGUGUCAGAGAGCUGUUACAGCUCUUGCAAUAAGUCCAACUGCACCUCAUCAGCUUGCAGUUGGAUGCGCUGAUUCAACAGUGCGUAUUUAUGACAGACGUUGUCUUAGUACUCAAGUCGAGGAUCCUUUAAAGGCUCGACCAUUCUGUAGUUUCAUCGCCCCAAAUCUGGAAGACCGAAGAUACAGAAUAACUUCACUCAGCUACAGUCAUGACGGUCAAGAUAUGCUAGUCUAGAUUAUCUGUAUCUAUUUAGGAUACAGGAGAAUCAGCUAGCUGAAUUAAAAAAACCCAUUAAAGCGUCUCCUUGGGAGAAAGUUAAAAUGUUAGCAGGCCAACGAGAACGUGUCAAUAAUUCGCCACCUCAUAUGCGAAGGUUACGUUUAAGAGGAGAUUGGUCUGAUACUGGACCAGAUGCACGUCCAGAAAGAGACACAACGACAACUGUCAGUAUUGGUCAAGCGAGACCACAAUUACAUGCCACUUUGAUGCAGCGUAUGACCGAUGUUCUCUCACAAAUGUUGAAUGAUCCAAUGACAAGAGCGGCUUUGAGUGCAGGAGGAGAGAAUGAAACGUCGCAAAGAAAUAUUUUAGGUGAAAGACAAAGUAAUUCGUCUGCUCAGGAAGAGAACGCAGAACAGCCGGUGGAACAAAGUCAGAAUGAAGCGGAAGGAGAGCAAAGUGUUCACACAGAGGCAGAAGAAGUUGCCACAACAAGCAGGUAACAUGAUGAGAACAAUAGAAAAAAAAUGAAACCAGUCACAAUUUAUUCAUUUUAUAUUUUUCAAAAUUUAAUUUGCAUAGGUUUAGCUUUUUAGUUUUAAAGUGUCGCAAAUCCUAAGAUUAUUGCAAAAAAAUUCAAUGAAAAAAAUUGGUUUAAUUAAUAACGU